rnacentral:rRNA from 1 species
UGACCUCGAAUCAGGUAGGACUACCCGCUGAACUUAAGCAUAUCAAUAAGCGGAGGAAAAGAAACCAACAGGGAUUGCCCCAGUAACGGCGAGUGAAGCGGCAACAGCUCAAAUUUGAAAUCUGGUCCCCAGGGCCCGAGUUGUAAUUUGCAGAGGAUGCUUUUGGUGAGGUGCCUUCCGAGUUCCCUGGAACGGGACGCCAUAGAGGGUGAGAGCCCCGUCUGGUUGGAUACCGAGCCUCUGUAAAGCUCCUUCGACGAGUCGAGUAGUUUGGGAAUGCUGCUCUAAAUGGGAGGUAUAUGUCUUCUAAAGCUAAAUAUUGGCCAGAGACCGAUAGCGCACAAGUAGAGUGAUCGAAAGAUGAAAAGCACUUUGAAAAGAGGGUUAAAUAGUACGUGAAAUUGUUGAAAGGGAAGCACUUAUGACCAGACUUGGCCCCGGUGAAUCAUCCAGCGGUUCCCGCUGGUGCACUUUGCCGGGGUUCAGGCCAGCAUCAGUUCGCUCCGGGGGAUAAAGGCUUUGGGAAUGUGGCUCCCUCGGGAGUGUUAUAGCCCAUUGCGUAAUACCUUGUGGCGGGCUGAGGUUCGCGCUUUAUGCAAGGAUGCUGGCAUAAUGGUCAUCAGUGACCCGUCUUGAAACACGGACCAAGGAGUCGUCUUCGUAUGCGAGUGUUCGGGUGUUAAACCCCUACGCGUAAUGAAAGUGAACGCAGGUGAGAGCCCUCCAGGGCGCAUCAUCGACCGAUCCUGAUGUUCUCGGAUGGAUUUGAGUAAGAGCAUACGGGGCCGGACCCGAAAGAAGGUGAACUAUGCCUGUAUAGGGUGAAGCCAGAGGAAACUCUGGUGGAGGCUCGCAGCGGUUCUGACGUGCAAAUCGAUCGUCAAAUAUGGGCAUGGGGGCGAAAGACUAAUCGAACC